GACGUAGGGGGCAAGCGUUGUCCGGAUUUAUUGGGCGUAAAGCGCUCGCAGGUGGUUCGUCGCGUCGUGCGUGAAAGACCCCGGCUCAACUGGGGGAGGUCGUGCGAUACGGGCGGACUGGAGGCCAGUAGGGGGAUGCGGAAUUCCGGGUGUAGUGGUGGAAUGCGUAGAGAUCCGGAGGAACACCAGCGGCGAAGGCGGCAUCCUGGACUGGUCCUGACACUCAUGAGCGAAAGCGUGGGGAGCGAGUCCGG
rnacentral:rRNA from 1 species